ACAGCAUGACACAAGACUACUUGGAAGUAAAUUGGAAUCUCCCGCUCAGCAUUUCUUUAAAGGAAAAAGAUGAGGAUUCUUUCUUGCUUGCUGUGAUAAAUGACAUUAACAGCUCCACGAUUCACUUUAAGCUCUCGCCUGCGUAUGUGUUUUAUCUGGUUGGGCGAUUUUUAACCAGCCAUAAACCUAUGCAGUCUGGACAGAAAGUCUGCAUGAUAUUUGAUAAGAUUGUGCACUUGAUUCAAGGCGUCAUUCAGAAACAGAGGAACAUCGCAGUGGCUCUUGCCUUCUGGAUGGCCAACACAUCUGAGCUCCUGAACUUCAUCAGACGGGACAGAGAUCUGUGUCCCAUCACGCUCCAGGCUCAAAAUACUCUCACUCAACUUGUGCAGCAGGCUUUCAG